AGUCGAGCAGUGAAGACAAAGCAAACUAUUCUUUCGCCUUUUACUAAAGAAUACCGUGUCUUCUCUGUGCUAUUCGGCAUACGCCUAUUUUUGGAAAGGUUUAUUUAACAAAUAAGCC
rnacentral:snRNA from 1 species